rnacentral:lncRNA from 1 species
ACUUAGAAGGGAAGUUCAGUACACAUAAAUAGUACACAAGCAACAGGUAUACGAGGAUGAAUUUAGGACAAAAUGAAAGUGUCAUGCAAUUGCAAAAUAAUUAAGUAGUAGACUAUAGGAAUAUGGUAAUUCAGAAGAGAGAGAAUCAGACUGCGUGCGAAAAAAUGGUCAAGUAAAGGUUUUAUAGAGUUUAGCAAAAGCUAGAAUCACAUGAAGAAACAAGAUUGAGACAAUGAAUUUGAGUCUUAAUGAAGCAGUAGAUGAAACAACUCUAGGAACUUGAUAGGUCCAUAAAAUCAAACAAGUUUUGAGUUGAAGCACAAGAAAACCACAUAGCCAACAAUCUCAAUACUCAAACAAUACCCCAAAUUUUAGGUGUUUCGCCGUCAAUCGAGUGUAGAGAUUGAAAGGGCAAGUAAUGAAGGAAAAAAAUACUGAAGAAACAACUUUUGAAAUCUCAGAAAGAAAUUGAGACUUUUAACAUGCAUCUUU